AGAGUUUUGUAGGACAAAAUCAGCUGGCUUGUAAGGUUUUUGUUUCCGAAAUGAAAUUAUGCAUGCUUCGGACAUUGUAUUUACGAUCAAAACCAAAGUCUAGUGCGAGAAAUUUUCAUUGGUGGAAUUAUCAUCACUCUGAUCAAUUGGUUCAAAACGCAUAUAUUUCGUGGUUGGUUUUAAUAAGACACCAAAUCUCAACUUUACAAACCCAAACAUUAAAAACGUCCAAGUUAUUAUGUUACAAUGAAUCACAUUAUUAUCAGACAUGCAAAAGACAAAAAUCCAAACGUGAUACCAGAAGAUAUAAUUAUGAAGAAGACAGUGAAGAUGACGAUGACAAUUUGACAGAGGAGGAGGAGGAGGAUGAAGUCUUCCAAAAAUACAAGCAUUAUGAAGGAGAUGAGAUUGCAACACCAGAGCCUACUCACAGGGUAAUCUAUGUCAGCUCAACAAGAGUGGAUGCUGUCCUUACAAAGGCAUUUGGCAUCGCCAGAGCUAAAAUAGAAGAGAAACUGAUAACACAGAAUUGCCUUGUGAACGGAAAACAUCUAACGAAGAAAUCAUAUCAGGUAAAGAAUUCAAUGUUAAUGUAU